CAAAGAGUCACGAACUGCUGGUUUAUCAAGGGAAUGAAUGCAUUACAGCUCUCCGUUUUCAUGCAGAACUGCACAGCAGAAUUUUAACAUCCAAGUGAAAUUCAAAGAAUGGUUGAAGUUGGAAGGGACCCCUGGAGGGGACCUAGUCCAACCCAGACACCCAAAGCAGCCGCCCAAGACCAUGUCAAAGUGGCUUUUGAAGAUCUCCAGGGAGGGAGACUCCACAACCUCUCUGGGCAACCUGUGCCAGUGCUCUGUCACCCACACAGUAAAGAAGUGCUUCCUGAGGUUCAGAUGACACCUCCUGUGUUCCAGUGUGUGGCUAUUGCCUUUGUCCUGGUGCUGGACACCACUAAAAAGAGCUUAGUUCCAUCCUUUUUGCACCCUCUCUUUAGGUGACACACUCCAGACUCUUCAUCAUCUUUCCAUCAAUAUGGACUAUUCUGCUAGCAAGGUCUAGCGAUUAAGACCAUGCAGAAGUUCCAUGCAGACCUUCAUAUCUGGUUUCUUCAUAUUAGAGUAGGUUUCUUGAUUUCUUAGUUUCUUUAUAAUCUUAUGCUUGUC